rnacentral:tmRNA from 1 species
UGCGCGGUAAAGGUGUAUUUUUCGCCCGGCAUGAUACCACCGUUAUCGGGUCACAUUCACAAAUGCCAAUGACAACGAGGCAUUUGCAGUCGCCGCAUAGGUAACUGCGGGGUUCGGGGGGCACCUGGCAACAGAAGCCCCUCACU